rnacentral:rRNA from 1 species
UAAUGAAUCUUCCACAAUGCACGAAAGUGUGAUGGAGCGACGCCGAGUGAAGGUUAAGUCCUUCGGGAUGUAAACUUCUAAAACCUGCUAGAAAGUUCUGAUCAGCAGGCUAUAAGUGGCGACUAACUCUGUGCCAGCAGUCGCGGUAAUACAGAGGCCACGAGCGUUAGGCGGAAUCACUGGGCUUAAAGCGCGUGUAGGCGGAUGUCUAAGUACCUUGUGAAAUCCCACAGCUCAACUGUGGAACUGCUUGGUAUACUGGAUGUCUUGAGGUGCUCAGGGGCGAGCGGAACAGACGGUGGAGCGGUGAAAUGCGUAGAUAUCGUCUGGAACGCCAAUGGUGAAGACAGCUCGCUGGGGGCAUACUGACGCUGAGACGCGAAAGCCAGGGGAUCAAACG